GCCGUUGAGUGGACACUGCGCGAGCUCGCGGCGGGAAGGGCCUCGCGCUUGGGAAUGAGGAAUCUAUUUUUAAAUCUUUCCAGUGAACAUGCCUCAGAACAGUGGAGAUUGGGUGGUACUGAAGGACUUUUCCUCUGAUGAAAUACAAGUUGGUUUGGGGUGACUGAUGUGCGAUUUAGGACAUUUGAUAUUGUGCUGCUCCAAGAGUUUCGUCAGGCUCAAGAACCUCCAGUAUGGCGGUUUCGCUGGUUGGUCAACAUUUAUUACCUGAUCCAGUUGAUCUUGAGAAGGUGGUAGUGAGCUGUUAUCUUGAACUGCUGCGGUCUACCUGCACUGUGUUAAUCUACAGUGAAUUUCGAGGGGACAAUUCCAAUCAAUAUAGUUUGUAAAUGUAAAAAUAGAUUGCAAGUGAGAAAAUCGUCACAGCUAGUUGGAUAUGUAUGGUGCUAAAUUUACAAUGUGCAACAUCCCAUUGAAGACAAACAGAUUGAACAGUUUUCAUGAAGGAGCAACAAUGUUAAUUCAAUAAAAUGCCCUAAAGACAUAUCUUGUCAACUCAAAUAAUUAGUUUGGUAAUGAUUAAUCUGCCAGCAAGGUUAGGAUACGUUGUGGGACAUGGCUACAUCAAUUUAUUAUCUGUACGUUAAUAAAGAUGGAUAUAGAGCUUGUAACGUUUACAAAAUUUCAUAUCUGUUUAUUCAUUAGAUUUGGA